CUCGAUAACACUACUCUUCAGCCCUUCCUCGACAACACUCCACUUCAGCCCUUAAUUUCCAGCCGACUCCACUCCCGGUAAGUUUAAAGCAAGAGCUAGGCGGUUGACGUGCAGGGACUUUCUGGCUCGGGUAAGUACAGUGUUCAAUACACAGGUGGAUAUUCACAGGGCUGGGCUGUUAACUGGCUACUCACCACUGAAGGUAUUCAGAGGUCAGUAUUCCAAGCAGAUACAGGUUAGGUCGAUUACUGACGGCUGGUGGGCCUUACAGGUGAAACUGCAAACAAUACUGGGCUUCCCGCCCAGCUUGGCAGGAGGUCACACGGGGGAGGAUCGGCUGUUGUUCUUCGCUUCCCCCGUCGAAUAGACAGCACAGACGACACGCACAAGGCCGGUGGUUGCUGACAAGGCAAAUGACACAACGUCACGUGGAU